GUGCGAGAAAUAUUAGAAGAGAGACAAAACGGAAAUUCGAUCCUUGGUCCAAAUGUUUAAUUGGUUCAAGUGUUUUUGUUUUUGUGAGCUUAGAAGAAAGGUAAGGGCAUGAUUAACCCCGGUCUCUUAGCCGGGGUUCUUAACUGAUGAUUUGACAUUUUUUUUUGUUUUUUUAUUCUUUUCGGCUAAGAGACAACUCUUAUAUCUCUUAUUUAAGAGAACGUUAUUAGCUUUUCUUGGUUAAAAUCUAAGAAAAGCUAAGAAC
rnacentral:lncRNA from 1 species